rnacentral:tRNA from 1 species
UAAUUAAAGAUUAAAUAUCACCUUAAUAUUUUCAAUAUUAUACUCUUCUUAAGCUAUUUAAAU